CCUCUUCAAGAAUUCACAAAACAUUAUAGAGAGUCUUUUUUUCUCUCUCUAAAACACCUAGCUAGUGAGAGAAAGUAUUAGCUUAAGACUUUAGAGGGUUUUUAAGGUGAAAGAGUAAAAGAGCACAAAAGGCUUGUGAAAAGGUGCACAAAAGCAUGAAAUUUGAGACUAACUUGAGAAAGUUAUGGAAGCUUGAAGAGAACUCCCAUGGAAAAUGAAGAAAUGUGAGAUGAAAAGAAAGAUGGG
rnacentral:lncRNA from 1 species